GGGGCAUUAGCUCAGCUGGGAGAGCGUUUGUCUGGCAGACAAAAGGUCAGCGGUUCGAUCCCGCUAUGCUCCA
rnacentral:tRNA from 1 species